CGGCCCCUCUCCUCCAGGCUGUGCAGCUGUUCGUUCUCCCACUGCAGACCAGGAUGAGGAGGGGGAGGAGUCACAACCAAAGACCGUCAUCUGAACAGUUUGUUUUUGGGUCACAUGACUGCAGCUUCCUCUGGUGACCUCGGCUCUGAAAACACAUCUAUGCACAGUUCUGUGAGCCGUAAAACAGUCGGAUGGAGAAACGGUCUCCAGUGGGUGGGUGGAGGUGGCACCAGAGGGAGCGGACUGCUGGAUCUGCUGAGCCUUGAUGAGUCAGAACCAACCGGAUCUCUGCUGAAGGACUUUGUUCUUAUCUGGAUUCUGGAGGAGGUCCGUGUUUGAACAUGGUCCAUCGCUGUCAUCUAUUCACCUUUGCACAUUCAUUUCAUCUCUCCUGCUUUUGUUGCAGGCUGGUUUGUGAGAGGUGGGGGCUCGUCCGGGACAGGGACUGGGAGCUGAUUAAAGGUUCUCAAUGACUCCUUCAGGUUAGAUCAGAUUAAAUGGAUCUCUAUGAUGAAGACUUUAUGCUGGAAACAUUUCUAUUCGUCUUUGUUCUCUGCUUGAAAAGCUCGUUUCGUUCUGGUGAUUUUGAAGAAAACGUCCUCAGAAAAGUCUCAUUAGCAGGAAACCUGAGGAAGUGGACUCUGUUCCAACACUCACUGCAGCAGCCUUUGGUGUGAAGAUCUGAUGAGGGACAAACUCCUGCAGAGGACGUUUAACGAGGCUGAAGCCCCCGUCAGUGCUGAAUCAGAGACGGGGAGGAAGUCCGGACUCGCCUCCUCCUUCUGUGCUCCGCUGACUGCAGGAGCAGGUGGAGUUUAGCUGAAAGGAGGAGGAGAACCGCUGACCCGUCGGUCCUCACAGAGGCUCCUGUCAGCUGAAGCAGUUCUGGUGGGAGGAGCUGAGAAAAGGUCAGAAUGUGAAGCUGAGAUUAUCUCUAUUCUCAGAGCAGCAGAGCGCCCCCUGCAGUCCCUCUGAGACUGCGUUUCCUUCUGGCACGAGAACGUUCUUCAGGAGGUUCCUGCCGGUUCUUUUGGUUUUCACUCUUGGAGACCAGAUUCUUCAUGAAGCUCCUUCAGGUCAGAUUGAGAUCCUUGGAUCAGUGACGUCAUUCUGAAGGAUUAAAGCUCCAUUUAGACCUCAUGCUGGUCUUUUACCUCUUUUGAAAACGUUACAGUGACUUUUUUACUCAGAAGGUUUUACAUUUAAAACAUUUCAACAUUCUUCAAGCUAACUCAGUUCAGUCUGAAGCUCUCCUGGAUCUGUUCUUCAGCGGCUUCAGUGUGUCAGAAAUAAGACGGCAGUUUUCUUUACCCGUCUUUGCUUUUUCAUUUUGCUGCAGCGUUUCUACAAAGCUUUGCUCGGUGCGGCGAGAAGCACGGCUGCCUCAGAACAAGAAGGUUCUGGUUCAAAUCCAGAGUGACCCCCCCUUCAGCCCCGUGAACCUGCAGAGGACCGUGAGGGAACCGGAGACGCGUGGCGGUUUGCUGGGUUUCUACAGGAAAUGGAAUGUUUAGAUGAAAUAUGGAUUCAGGACGAUGAUGGGAAUGCUGCACUCUGAUGUCAUGCAGGCUUUCAAAGUAAGAGCGUGGAGGUAAACUCAGCGUCCGUCUUUAGUUUCUGCAGUAAAAACUCUGACGCUCAGCAUCCUCUUUCCUCUCUGGGUCAUUCUGCUGAAUAUUAUGUUCAGAUGAAAUAAUUAUGAGUCUCACCUGUCACAUGACUCACACCUGUGAGGCCCGCCGCCUUUCUGUCACGGCCGUCACAAUCAUGCUAAUUCAGGAAGCGGCGUUUAUCAGCCCAAACAUUCUCCCACAUGAAAGGGAAAUCUGGAGCGGCGUGCUGCCGUGGGAUUACGGCGAGGCUCUGCGGCGCAGCGUUAAGCCCAGACGAAUAUGCUAAUGGAAGCUGCCGCCCCUCUGCACGUCCUGCUCCUCACGCGUGUUCUCCUGCACACGGAGGUGAGCCUCUGGCCAGACGGCUGUCACUCUGCUGAUGGCUGACUGACAGGUGUGAGAGGAGCUCUGAUGACCGACCAGCACCCCACACCCCCAGAGUGGGACCGUGACCCCCUCCGUCAGCCGUGGAGCCGUGUUUGGAGGUCACUGAGGAUGAUGCACGGGAUGAAGGCUGCGUUCACAAACAUCUGUGAAACCAGGAGAAUCUCUGACAUCAUGACAGUCCAUCCAUGUUUGGACCAGAACCAGCUUCUGGUGCAAAAACUGCACGUUUCCCAGAGGACACCUGUGCAGGUGAGGUCUGUGAUGAUGCGUCUGAGAAGGUCCCUUUACCUCCCGGUGGCGCUCUUCAUCCACGCUCCUGGUCUCAGCGGGUUCUAAGCUCAGUGACUUCAGUUCAAAUUCUUUUUGUUUAUGCCGUUACCACGGCAACAGUUUUGUAGGGAAGGUGGUUCUCCUCCUCCUUUGGUUCUCCUCCUCCCUUUGGUUCUCCUCC